rnacentral:rRNA from 1 species
CACGUAGGGCGCGAGCGUUGUCCGGAAUUAUUGGGCGUAAAGAGCUCGUAGGCGGCCUGUUGCGUCCGCUGUGAAAGCCCGGGGCUUAACCCCGGGUCUGCAGUGGAUACGGGCAGGCUAGAGGUAGGUAGGGGAGAAUGGAAUUCCCGGUGUAGCGGUGAAAUGCGCAGAUAUCAGGAGGAACACCGGUGGCGAAGGCGGUUCUCUGGGCAUGUUCUGACGCUGAGGAGCGAAAGCGUGGGGAGCGAACAGG